rnacentral:rRNA from 1 species
AGCAGCCGCGGUAAUUCCAGCUCCAAUAGCGUAUAUUAAAGUUGUUGCAGUUAAAAAGCUCGUAGUUGAAUUUCGGGAGCCGCGGGUCGGUUGGGCUUAACUGUCCAUCACUGGCUCCGCGGGUCUCUUACCUUCUGGCGAGGUCAGAUGUCAUUUAUUUGGUGUCUGGCGGAACCAGGACCAUUACCUUGAAAAAAUUAGAGUGUUUAAAGCAGGCUUUAUCGUCUGAAUACAUUAGCAUGGAAUAAUAAAAUAGGACGGCUAAGGGUUCUAUUUUGUUGGUUUCUAGGACCACCGUAAUGAUUAAUAGGGAUAGUUGGGGGCAUUAGUAUUCAAUUGUCAGAGGUGAAAUUCUUGGAUUUAUUGAAGACUAACUACUGCGAAAGCAUUUGCCAAGGAUGUUUUCAUUAAUCAAGAACGAAAGUUAGGGGAUCGAAGACGAUCAGAUACCGUCGUAGUCUUAACCAUAAACUAUGCCGACUAGGGAUCGGAUGAUGUUAAUUUUUUAAUGUACUCAUUC